GCUGUUGCCAGAGAAUUGAAUGUUAAUUUCUCUACCAUAAGACACAGACACAACGUCGUUUUAGAGAAUUUGAUAGUAUGUCCAACCGGCCUCACAACCGCAGACCACAUGUAAACACGUCAGCCCAGGACUUCCACAUCCGGCUUCUUCACCUUCGGGAUGAUUUGAGACCAGCCACCCGGACAACUGAUGAAACUGAGGAGUAUUUUUGUCUGUAAUAAAGCCCUUUUGUGUGGGGAAAUGAAUUCGUAUUGGCUGGGCCUGACUCCCCAGUGGGUCUAUGCCCUCCCAGGCCCACACAUGGCUGUGCCCCUGCUGAAAUUGACUGAUUUCCUUAUGUGAACUGUAACUUGUUAAAUUGUUGCAUUUAUAGUUUUGUUCAGUGUAUAUAUAUGACCAUAGAGAUUCUGUCAAAUGACUCAUUCCUAAUUCUAUGAUCCUGACCUGGUUGUGACAUCAUAAGGGCGGUUGUCAUAGUUCCCAUGGAUUUAGAACCAGAAUGUUGGACCAGAAUUUAACAGUGUGAUUUGCAAAUGAGUUGACAGUCUUUUUUGCUUUGCUCACACAAAUAGUGUUUAAAUCUCAUACCAGUGUUGAUUAAAUGUCGAAAAUAUAUGAGAAGUAUUCUGACGGCGACUCUGCUGGAAUACUUCAUUCCCAGGUGAGAAGAGACUUUUCCUUCUUUUUUUUAUAAUGAUUUGUGCUGGUUACUUCAAAGCUAGUCAGUAAUGUGAGCAUGCCGUUAUUCUGAUAAUCUACUGUGCAUUCGGAAAGUAUUCAGACCCCUUGACUUUUUCCACAUUUUGUUAUGUUACAGCCUUAUGCUAAAAUAUAUUAAAUACUUUUUUUCCCCUCAUCAAUCUACCCCAUAAUGACAAAGCAAAAGCAGGUUUUUAGAUUAUUAUUUUUUUAAUUUGUAAAAGAAAUUGGGGGAGAUAUCACAUUUACGUAUGUAUUCAGACACCUUACUCAGUACUUUGUUGAAGCAACUUUGGCAGUGAUUACAGCCUCAAGUCUUCUUAGGUAUGACGUUACAAGCUUGGCACACCUGUAUUUGGAGAGUUUCUCCCAUUCUUUUCUGCAGAACCUCUUCAGCUCUGUCAGGUUGGACAUCUCUUUUCAGAGAUGUUCGAUCGGUUUCAAGUCCAGGCUCUGGCUGGGCCACUCAAGGACAUUCAGAGACUUGUCCCGAAGCCACUCCUGCAUUGUCUUGAAUGUGUGCUUAGGGUCGUUGUCCUAAUGGAAGGUGAAUCUUCACUCCAGUCUGAGGAUCUCUCUGUACUUUGCUUCGUUCAUCUUUCCCUCAAUCCUGACUAGUCUCCCAGUCCCUGCCGAGGAAACGUUUUUAUUUAAUACAUUCUAGAAUAAGGCUGUAACGUAACAAAAUGUGAAAAAAGUAAAGCGGUCUGAAUUCUUUCCGGCGCUACUGUGUUUUGCUACAUACUUCCAUUCCUUUCUCUCUCACUAGUUCUCUCCUCAGGAACAAGUGAUGAAGUUCCUGACUGAGAAGGAGGAGGAGGAGGCGUGGAAGGACUUCUUUGACUCUCAUCUCCAGGAGAAGCUCUGUGAGGAGAGAAGAUGGACGGAGAAGAAGUUCAGCAACCGGAAGAGGGAGGUGGAGAGCUGGAUCGUUGAGAUACAGCAGGAGUGGAGAUGGAGGGAGAAGGCUCAGAGGGACAUGGUGUUCAAGCUGCUGAUUAUGGACCUUCCUCAGAGGAGGAGAGUCAUUGAGAACCUCCGAGAGACGGACGACCCCGCCAGCGAUCAGCUGGAGAGAGAGAUGGACGGAGAGGACAGGAGGACGGAAAACAUUGGGAUGAUAAAGAGGAGUGAAGAGGGAGAUGGAAGGAGAGGAAAAGAGGUGGAGGAGAUGAAUGAGGGGUGCCGCCGCUGCCAAGGGGACGGAGCGAGAGGGAAGGAGAGAAACCAGAGCCGUGAAAGCAGACGAGGAGAAAACACGGCAUGACAUUCGAAGAGAGGAAGAAAAGAGGAAAAUCGAGGAGGGGGACAAGAAGGACGAGAUACUGAGUGUGUGAGAUUCGGUGAGAGAGAAGAGAAGGGACAGAGAGAGGAGGAGAGGAAGAGUCGAGAAACUGGGAUUGAUGGUAACAUUGAAAGUGAGGCAGUUGGUUUGAUGGAAGACAACAGAACGAUGCCUGAAGACGGUGUCGGACGGAUUGAGACAGAAAAGGAAAGGAGGAGUGAGAAGGCUGUGAGGGCAGAGGAAAAGGAGGCGUCUGAGGAGAGGGAAAUAAAGUUGGAGAAGAAGAGGAAAAUAGAGGCUAAGCGAGUGAUAGAGGAGGAGGAGAAGAAGUCUGAGGGUGAACAGAGUGAGAAAAAGACAAACGAGACAAAGCAAGAAAAGCAGACUUCCACAGAGACAGAACUGAGUGACUGGGAUGAGGACAGUGAGGAGGAAGAGAUUGGGGCGGUGAAAUUGGAGAUGAAACAGAAGAGCGAGGUCGUGAAGAAGAGGUCUGAGGGUGAACAGAGUGAGAAAAAGACAAAAGAGACAAAGCAAGAAAAGCAGACUUCAACAGAGACAGAACUGAGUGACUGGGAUGAGGACAGUGAGGAGGAAGAGAUUGUGUCGGGGAAAUUGACGAAGAAGAAACAGAAAGAGCUGGAAGAGAGGAAGAAGGAGGAGGAAAGGGUGAGAAAGGAGGAGAAGAAGAAGGAAGAAGAGCGCCUGAUGAAUAGGGAGGAGGACAAGAGGAAAGAGGAGGAGAAGAAGCUACUAGAACAGGUGAGCCUGAAAGUCCUGCAGGAAUCCUGGAAGAAGGCUAAAGGGGAGGACAGGAAGAGAUCUGAGGCACCCAAAAUGGAAGCAGAACAGCAGCGCCAGUGGGCAGUUUUUUUCAGUGAUUUGAGGGAGGAGGAGGAGGAGAACAGGAGGAAGGUGUUCGCUGUCCAGGGGGGAAACCAGAUGUUUCAUAAAAAUCAAGUUGUCAAGAGGACAACACACCAGGACCCAGGAAAUGAGUCAGCAAUAUCGGUGAGUUCAUCUGAGGACACUGGCUCUGAGUGGGAGCGGCAGUGGGAGGAAGAGAAGAGGAGGGAGAAGGAGAGGAAGGAGGAGGAGGAGAAGAGGAAGAGACUGGAAGAUAAGAAGAGGGAGGAGAUGGCGAAGGAACGGGAGGAGCAGAAGAAUAGAGAGGCGGAGGCGAAGUGGCAGGCACGUCUGGUUCCGAAGAAAAAGAAAGGUGUAUUUAAGUCAUUCUUCAACAUUUUCAUGUAAAUGAAAACAUGACAUAUUUUCAUCAUUUGAAUCAAGCGUUUAUCAAAUGGAAUAAAAAC
rnacentral:lncRNA from 1 species